GAUGUACGACAACGAGGUGGUGCCGGGAAGGGUUAACAUACCGUUCUGGCCUUGUGUGCAUGGGUGUACCCAAGGGGAGGGUGGAGCGGAAUCUCGUGGUGGAUGGAGGGCGUUAUCCUGCCAAGGGUGUUGGUGAUGGUUCGCUUCAUUAAGUGCAUAGCUGUGGACUGUCAGGACAAGAUUAUGACUGAACUAGAGAGGAGAACAUCACCCAGGGAUCUUGGACUUGGAGCUGGAUGCAGGAACUGAUGAGACUCUGAAUUUCCCCUUUUGGGGAGGAAGGUUUACAAGGCUCACAAAUGCUCUCUGUGGAUGAGGUCUUUGGAGGAAACUGGAGAAUGACUGUGUUUCACAUCUGGGUCAAAGUGUUACUGAACAGAAGCAGCGGAAGUGGACCCAAAGGAAACCAAAGUCAGAAAGUCGUUAAUGACCACCCCCACCCCUGUCCUGGGAAUGUGGAAAGUUUUGAGAAAGGCUUUGGACUUCCAGAAGUCUAGGUGGACUAGGCUCCAAAGAUGACCUCCAGUGAACCACAGCUCCUGCUAUUAAUGCUCACGUGUACUUCCCACCUACAUUUGAAUGUGACUCAUGUUAACCACUUGAAUGCAGUCGAAGUGGUGCUGUACCAAUUCUAGACCUAGUCUUUAAGAGGAUUGGCAGCUUCUACUUUCUCCUUCUUGGAACAUUUGCUUUUAAGUCUGACUGCCUUACUGGAGAGACCCUGUGGAAAGAUUACAUGAAGAGGGAGAGAGACCCUGUUGUCAAAAUGUCCCUGUUAUCUGAAGAGAUGACUCCAGUCCCACCUGUCAUCUGACUCAACCACAUGAGAGGCCCCAGGUGAGACCAGCAGAAGAACUGCCCACAUGAUCUCAGUCAACCUGCAGAAUCACAAGGGUCAUUCCAGUACCCUCUAUUGAUGAAGUUUAAAAUUCUGCCACCUGACAAAGGAGAAGCUUUUGCAGGAUCCAAGUCCACUCUCACAAAAUGCAGGGCAAAGAAGAGUGAAUUUAGAAUGGAGAACCAAUAAAUUGAUAAUUUGCACACCUUAGCAAAGAUAAUUUAAUUAAUACACACUAUGUGCCAGGUGCUAUGAUAGAAUUAUGCAUGUGUGUGCAGGUGUACAUAAUUUUAAAUCCCACAGCAGCCCUGUGAAGUAGAUAUUAUUCUCAUUUGACAUACAUGACAAAUGAUCCAUGUCUGGACAUCAAAGCUGUGCUCUUCUCUGCUAUCCUCAUAUUCUUUUCUUCUCUGUGGAAAGUUAAAUGCACCCUCAUGUCUUCCCCUUUAGUUCUUGCCUCUGUAUUACAACACUUAUAUUGCAGUACCUAUUGGUUUAUAUAUCUACCUCUCUCCAUAAUAUGGGAGUUCCUAAAAAGCAGGAGUGGUGUUUUUCGAUUCAUUUUGGGUUCCUAAUGCUCACCUUUAGUACUUAGUACCUAACAGGCACUUAAAUGCUCAUGAAAAGAAUAAUUGUUUGGGUGUUCCCUCCUUGAAACCAGUGCCAGUGGGCUAAAUAAUUCUGGAAACACCUAGGUAGGUACCAAGUAAAUCUGUUGAAUUGGGUUGAAUAUUUGCCAUUGGAUUAAGCUAGGUGGGUCUUGUUGAGUCUUGAGAAUAGGGAAAGCCUUUUUAGUUUUUAUUUUAUUUUAUAGUUUGGUUUGUUUAUUAAUACUAUAAUGUGGUGGGAAACUGUCUAUUUAAAAUCUCUUUGAUAUGUUUUUGCGCCUAGGAAAUCUUUGAUUCCUAAAAAACACUUGGCCCAUAUAUGAUGGUACAAUUUUAGUUCAUACUCGUGGGUAGGUUCUGAUGUUGGUCAUUCCAUUAAAUUUCCUUUAGGUCCACAUUUUACCUCUGUCACUUUUUCAAGUAAGGAACUUUGGAAUCAUCCUUUGGGUUAUGUUAUUGGUAUUGAAAGAGUAUUGAGUUUUUUUCUGGCAGGCCGUUAAAUUACCAGCAUGUAUGAGACUUGGUUUUAGGUUUUAUUAAGGUGGGUCUAUUUCAGCUUUGCCCCCGACUCUUUGCCCCUUUAUAAAAGGGCCUUAGCUGCACGGCCAGAAUGUUCACCGAAGUCCCUUCACUCUCCCUAGGCCUGAACUCCAGUGUGUCCCCAGCACUGUUCAGUGUCUAGAAUCUUUAUUUGGUUCUCGUGCUUCCAGCAGCUAUUCUAGUCCUGGAUUUUACUUUGUGUUUGAGACCCUCCCUCACAGGUCAGAGUCAAGAUUCAUGAGCUUCCAGGACUUGGUAACCCCUAAUUUAUCCUCUGCUUCCCCAAUUUAUUGUCAUUAUUAUUUGUUUUGUUUUGUUUUUUUUUUCUAUUCUUGUUUUGGUCUUUCAGUACA